UCUUGCUAGUCAUGCUACUAAGACCAGCUCUGCCUUAGCAAGUGGGCACUUAAGCUCUCUGGAAAUGACACCUGGCCUUAAGACCAUCACAGGAGUACACAGAUGCCCAGAACUAGUGCUCAACCUUUGGAAGGAUACUAAAAAUGCCUCUUGUAGAAGAUGAAAUUAAGAUGAAAGCCUACUAGUAGCGUGAAGCAUUUUCACACCCUUAUUCAUGAACGCAUAGAGGUGCCAAGAGACAGAUCUUCCUCCUUGGUAACUGUCCAUGGACAGGACAGCUAUGACUGUUAUCUCCACUGCCCCUGCUGUUGAAGUGACAGGGAAGGAAGAGGGGGAGCAGGUGAAGGGCAGCAGGGGAGCUGGGCCAGGUGUAAGAGCCUCAUGGAGAGACUGGACCCUGCAGGCUGCACAUCCUCUGGAGCCCCUGCCUGUCUCCCCUGCAUUUCUCGUUCCUCUAAGGUGCCUGACCAGCUGCAGUGGGCAGACUGGCAGACUUCAACUUCUUUUCUCUUCAAUCUGCAGGCAGAAGACAAUAUUUUCAGUAUGGCAUCCAUGUGGGAGCUCUAACUGGAGGUCACCAAGUGUGACCCCUUUUCUUCACUUUGAAGAAACUUUAUACCCUGGGUCUAUAAACCUAAAAGCUGGGGGCACAAAUAACAUCGCCCCUUCUUCUCUCCCAGCUCAAUCUGGCUCCCCCACUGCCACCACCUCAAGAAGGAAUCCUUGUGACUUUUGUAUCCGCUUACAAAUCUGCUUCCUAGGCCAAUGGACAUGCCACUCAACACUGCUACUCUUAAAUGUGCUCAUCUGUAAUGUGAUGAUAAUAAUGUUUACCUAGUGAUAUAAUCUUGAAGAUUAAAUGAGAUAACAUAUAAAAACUCUUA